UACGUAGGGUGCGAGCGUUUAAUCGGAAUUACUGGGCGUAAAGCGUGCGCAGGCGGUUUUGUAAGCCAGAUGUGAAAUCCCCGGGCUUAACCUGGGAAUGGCAUUUGGGACUGCAAGGCUUGAGUGCGGCAGAGGAGACUGGAAUUCCUGGUGUAGCAGUGAAAUGCGUAGAGAUCAUGAGGAAGACCAGUGGCGAAGGCGGGUCUCUGGACAGUUCCUGACACUGAGGCACGAAGGCCAGGGGAGCAAACGGG
rnacentral:rRNA from 1 species